AAGCCUAUACUGUUAAACGAUUUAAUAUUUACUAUUUUAUAUAUAUAUAUGGCCAAUAUUAACAUUUUAGCAUUUGGUUCCAAUUUUAACUAUGGAUUUUGGACUUAAAUCACACAAGCUUAUGCUUAAAGCCACUGUUAAAUGGUUUAGCGUUAGUAUAUAUUUUUUUUAUAUGGCCAAUGUUGAACAUUUUAGUUCUUGCGUUGGAAGUUUUGAAGGUUGUUAAGGUUGCUGUACAUGUAUAAUUUUUCCUGGGGUGCAAACUUCAUUGACGUUUAUGUCCCCAAAAAAAAUUAUACAUGUACAGCAACCUUAAC
rnacentral:misc_RNA from 1 species